AACGAACGCUGGCGGCAGGCCUAACACAUGCAAGUCGAGCGCCCCGCAAGGGGAGCGGCGGACGGGUGAGUAACGCGUGGGAACGUGCCUCUUGCUACGGAAUAGCCUCGGGAAACUGAGAGUAAUACCGUAUGUGCCCUUCGGGGGAAAGAUUUAUCGGCAAGAGAUCGGCCCGCGUUGGAUUAGGUAGUUGGUGGGGUAAUGGCCUACCAAGCCGACGAUCCAUAGCUGGUUUGAGAGGAUGAUCAGCCACACUGGGACUGAGACACGGCCCAGACUCCUACGGGAGGCAGCAGUGGGGAAUCUUAGACAAUGGGCGCAAGCCUGAUCUAGCCAUGCCGCGUGAUCGAUGAAGGCCUUAGGGUUGUAAAGAUCUUUCAGUGGGGAAGAUAAUGACUGUACCCACAGAAGAAGCCCCGGCUAACUCCGUGCCAGCCGCCGCAGUAA
rnacentral:rRNA from 1 species